AUCGUGAAAGACCGCAUGACCAGGACAUUCUCAUGGAGACGCUCAGAAAUUGCUGAGGGAAUUUCUGUGGAGGACCUGUUGAAAAAAUAUCCAUUUCUUUCAACACCCUCUGGGUUGUAUGAUGAGGUGGACUGCAUUCAUCCUGCCCCAGUUCCAGUAGACAGGCGCAUCAUAGAGAACUUAACUUCCCUGCUUCCUAAACUUACUAAAUUAGUGAAGGACACAUCACCUCUUAAACAAGUCUACCUAGAUGCAAAACGUGAUGCCCUGACUGUGGACCAUGCAGCUAUUGACACCAGGGGUGGACUUCUCCUCUUGCCAUCGAUCUUUAAAGAGAAAAUCGAGAACUUGAUCAUUCUUGGACAGAAUGAGCCGGCCACCCCGCACCCAACUAUUAGGCUGAGGGACCAUGAUUGGAAGACUGCUAUUGUUGACAGAGCUGAAACCAUCAUCGAAGUUGACGGGGUUAGGAUGUGCUCCUGUAUUGGUGUUGAAGAGGCUUUCCGAGCAGUGUUCUGCAUGUACUUCGUUUUCAAUAUGGAGUACCCUGCUCAAUUGAAAAACACAUUCAUAUUUUUUCAGAGGUGCAUUGCACAGAUAGUGGUGGCUGGAGACAAGCUGUCAACACCAGUGACUCGCCUUAUUAACCUCCUAUACUGAAAUGCCGCCAUUAUAUCAGUGUACGAAGUGCCGCCGCAGAACUUUCACUCUUACUAAACUUAUUCAGCAUAUUGGACUUGUCCAUGCCCACGAACCUAAUUUUAGGUUAGCUUGUUUGUUUACUUAAAAUAUUUUGUCUAAAUGUCAAUGUUCAAGCUUUGGUCAAAAUUGUAUGUCCACUGUCUUUUGACAAUUAUUUACAUGUUCUAUUUUCUGCAGAAAUGUCAUUUACUGAGAGAUUUUCACAUUGGGAAAAGGUGUUUAAAACAUCAAUGUCAUGUCUAUGAAUUUGAAUUGUGUUAGUAUUGAUAUUGUGUGUUGAUUGACCAUCUAUAUACAUGUUUAUUGCAUUAUUAUUAAUCUUGUGUUAUGUGUAUCCAGCCUACUUGUAUAUCCAGUUGAUGAAAUCAUAUGAUGUGAAUAUAAAUGUACAUACAUUUUAUAGAAUAAGACAGUUAAAUAUUGUGUUAUGGGUUGACCAUUUGUAUGAAUACUUGUAUAUCCAGUUGAUGAAAUUAUAUGUGUAU